rnacentral:snRNA from 1 species
GUAGUCACUUUGGCAGCACAUAUACUAAAAUUGGAGUGAUACAGAAAAGCUCAGCAUGGCUCCUAGGCAAGGAUGACAUACAAAUUCAUGAAGUGUUCCCUGUUUGC